rnacentral:lncRNA from 1 species
CUAUGCUCAUUUUCAAUUACACUGCCCCAUAAUUUUGUUCUUCUACAUGUAAAGAUACAGUGCUAUCAAAUCAUCAAGAAAAGGAAUCUAAUUUUGGGGAAUAAUAUCUAAUUACAGUGGCAUAAUAUCUAAUUUUGCCAAAAGCCCAAAACUAUAUUACAUGAUCAUCCGAGUGCUAUCUCCUCAUCCCUUCCCAGAAAAGAAAUCUACCACAAACACCGAAACAGCUUAUAACAGGGGCAGCAGAACAUUAAAAAUUCAACACAACGAAACAAAAUUCAAAAAUUGUAUUAAAUUAAUGUUAUUAUUUUACCAAAAAUAAAAAAUUGUAUGAUUCUAUCACUAAUUCACUAUGAUUACCGAGUAUUGUAUUUCUGUGUACCGUGUACAGAGACCAAACAGGGAUUGAGACUCGAGGGGCACCGCACAACAGAGGUUAGGUCUCGGAUUGAGAAGGGUCAUGACUGGGCUCGGAUGGGGAACGACACAGAGUCAGUGAGAGACAGAGAGAGAUCGUGACGAUGGGCAAUGAUACUGGGCUGGGAUUUGGGCGCAAUGAGAGACAAAGAGAAGCUCUCAAGCACUGAAGAAGGAGAAAUCAGAAAUUAGAAAGCAAAAGCCC